UAUUUAUUUAUUUAUUCUUAGGUGGUGCUGGGGAUCAAACCCAGAGCUUCAUGCAUGUGAGGCAAGUGCUCUACCACUGAGUUACAACCUCCGCCCAUGGAAUGGUGUCUUUUAUACAUUAAAUGACAUGGAAAGAGACCCUUGACCUCAUGAAGCCAGGGGCCAACAUUUGAUUGGACCAUGACCCUCUGGCCUGUCCCCAUGAACCACCCAACUGCCAGAGGCAUCAAUCCCACUGGAUGGCCAGAACCAAGGCCUCUGUCCUCAUGGGGCUCCUCACUGUCCACAGCAACUUCACCUUGCACCAGCACUCAUCAUUUGCAGGCGAGAGCAGACUUUCAAGAGAAGUUCUGAGUGACAGUCCGAAAGAAACACUGACAAACUGUCCUGUUUCUCAUCAUAGCUCUCAUUUUGUGGUCGAUUUUGGUGAUCCUUUGGGGGGUCUACUUGGUAGUCCCUUGAAAUAUAAAAUGUAUCACAAGUGUCUGAAGUACCCUACUGGACUACUGGUUGACCUCUGGACUCACGGGCUGUGAACAGUCUGACUUUUUAUCUGUUCUAUAAAUACCACCAUCUUAGGGUCAAGAAGGCUUGUUAAGAAAUAAUUAGUAUAACCGUUUUAAAAAUAUCAAGUGAUAUUGUUUUUGCCUUCUUGUCAAUUUUGGAAUUACUUUUUCCCUCUUCUUGACCCUUACAAUCUCUGAAGAUUUGUGUGGCAAAUUUUAUUACUGUUCCCAAUUGCCUGGGUUUUCCAAGUAGGAGGAUAAUACAUCCCUAACAGGGUGGGGAUGGGCUGUCAAGUGAUGGGCUGUGGCCAACAGGAGGUGAAGGGCCACGUUGAGCCUCCCCGGCCACCUAGCAGAAGCCAGGUCCUGCCUACGUUAGACAGUGAGCUCGCAAACCGCGGGUCAGGCCGCUUCAUCUCACCUCCCUCCCUGCAGCGUGCGUCACCAGGACGUGGAAUAAGGCCAGCAGUCCCAGAGUGGUCAUCAUUUCCUUCACUCAUUUUAUAAAUUUUUCACAUUUCCGGUUCAUCUUGUUUUUUUAAACCAUGGCCACUUUUGAUAAAUUUCCAACAAUUCGUAGGGAAAAAACUCCUAAAGCAAAAAACAAAUCCCCAAAAACUAUAAUUUUUAAAUUAAAAGCUCUAAAACCAUUAAAGAGGGUCUGGAAGGAAUUUCACAAGUAAUUUAUUAUGUGACGUGAAAGAAAUAGAUUGGAGAGAAUUGCUAGUCUCCAUAGUAAAAACAGCAUCAUCUUUCAUAUUUUAAUAUUUUAUGCCUCAGAUUCAAUAAUGUCCAGGUAUUUGAAAAUAAAUGAUUUCCAAACAUUUUGUAUGUGUCUGUGUGUGUUUGUGUGUGUAUGUAAUAUAUAUACAAUAUACUAAAUA
ensembl:lincRNA